UUUUCAUUCGUUGAAAUCUUUACAUAAUACUUUCAUUGUCAAUGCAAUUGAAUACAUCCUUCUCGAUGUAUGUGAGGUCAAAAAUGUGUUAAAAAUGCAUGACUGUGCUUUGUAUAAUUUUUUUUAACUGGAAUAAAAAAUUGAACGGGGUCAAUUGACCCCAUAUUUUUAAUGUAGCUUCGCCACUGCUCCACGUCAACUUUCUACUUGAGCAAAUAUAUAUAUAUAUAUAUAUAUAUAUAUCCGAAUUCUUGUGGAUGAAUUAUAUUCUGCAUGGUAUCAUUAAUAUAUAUAUAGGAAUAAGGUCCAAAAAUGUCCCUAACAUUUUCACUAAUGUCUAUCGAGCACCCUAUACUUUUUUUUGUCUAAAAAUAUCCUUAACGUUAUGUUUUUUGAGUUAUUCGUGCCCCUGCCGUUGACAGCUGUGCCAACUAGACAUACAGGUGUUAAACCUUCUAUGACGUGGUUGACACAUGUCAAUAUUUGUUGAUAUUUAUUUUGUUUAUUAAUUAUUUAUUUUGUUUUAAAGAAAAAUAAAAUAAAUAAUUAAUAAACAAAAUUAAUAUUUAUAUUUAAUAUUACGUCUUCUUCCUCUUGAUGUUCGUAGUCUGCAAAAUCUGAAACCAAAACAUACUCAAAAUUCUUGACAUCAAACCAAAACAUAAAUUAAAUUCGUUCACAUCAAUUUAAACUAAUUAAUCUGAAAAAAAUUCAUGAACCCUUGGUUCAUUUUCAUAUCCGAAAAAGAAAACAACAAUUUUCGAUUCACCAAACUUUCCAACAGUUCCAAUUCAAACAACAUAGAAAAACCCUAAAUCGACAGAUCCAAUUAUUAAUGAGUUUCCUAAUCUGGUGUAGUGGUGUAGGAAAAAGAUGGCUUGAUGAGCUUUAAAUCGACUAACCCGAACGAUUGUGACGACGAAGGGACGUUAAUACCACCGGCGCCGUUAAUGGCUUGAUGAGCUUUAAAUCGACUACCACCGCCGUUAAUACCACCGCCACCCGAUCUGCGCGAGGGAGGAAGGGACGGAGUGGACUGUAAUUGGUGGGCUUUGAUCGGUGUCUGCUGCUGCUCCUUUUGUUGUUGCUAGACGAUUUCCAGAGAAGGAGAGGAGAAGGAGAGAAGGAGGAACGAUCGGUGUCUGCUGCUGCUCCUUUAGUAUUGUAG
rnacentral:lncRNA from 1 species